rnacentral:rRNA from 1 species
UACGAAGGGUGCAAGCGUUACUCGGAAUUACUGGGCGUAAAGCGUGCGUAGGUGGUUCGUUAAGUCUGCCGUGAAAGCCCCGGGCUCAACCUGGGAAUGGCGGUGGAUACUGGCGGACUAGAGUGCGGUAGAGGGUGGUGGAAUUCCCGGUGUAGCAGUGAAAUGCGUAGAGAUCGGGAGGAACAUCUGUGGCGAAGGCGGCCACCUGGACCAGCACUGACACUGAGGCACGAAAGCGUGGGGAGCAAACAGGAUUAGAUACCCCUGUAGUCC